rnacentral:misc_RNA from 1 species
GCAUGGCAUUGGAUCGCAUCCACAACACUCUCAAGAUGUUUUGUGUAGCUGAUCCUCCUUAUGACAAGUCACUCCAGCAGCUGCAAAGCUUUUUAUCAGGUUUAGUUUCUGAAGAGAAGUUAGAAUUGAGAGAUGGAAUGUACUUCUUGAAGAAGUAACGAUCCGAUAUGAUCAUAAUUCGUCAUACUUCAUAACCAGUGCAAUGGGAGUU